rnacentral:rRNA from 1 species
CGUAACUACAGGCUUAACGACAUGCAAGUCGAGGGGCAGCAUUGGAGUAGCAAUACUCAGAUGGCGACCGGCGCACGGGUGAGUAACACGUAUCCAACCUGCCGCUUACUCGGGGAUAGCCUUUCGAAAGAAAGAUUAAUACCCGAUGGUAUAAAGAGUUCGCAUGUUCUCUUUAUUAAAGAAGUUUCGGUAAGCGAUGGGGAUGCGUUCCAUUAGAUAGGUUGGCGGGGUAACGGCCCACCGAAGUCUACGAUGGACUAGGGGUUCUGAGAGGAAGGUCCCCCACAUUGGAACUGAGACACGGUCCAAACUCCUACGGGAGGCAGCAGUGAGGAAUAUUGGUCAAUGGACGAGAGUCUGAACCAGCCAAAAGUAGCGUGAAGGAUGACUGCCCUAUGGGUUGUAAACUUCUUUUAUAAGGGAAUAAAGUGAGGGACGUGUCCCUUUUUGUAUGUACCCUAUGAAUAAGGAUCGGCUAACUCCGUGCCAGCCGCGGC